rnacentral:rRNA from 1 species
GAUGAACGCUGGCGGCGUGCUUAACACAUGCAAGUCGAACGGUGAAGGCGGAGCUUGCUCUGCUGGAUCAGUGGCGAACGGGUGAGUAACACGUGAGCAAUCUGCCCCUGACUCUGGGAUAAGCGCUGGAAACGGCGUCUAAUACUGGAUACGAGCUGCGAAGGCAUCUUCAGCAGCUGGAAAGAACUUCGGUCAGGGAUGAGCUCGCGGCCCAUCAGCUUGUUGGUGAGGUAACGGCUCACCAAGGCGUCGACGGGUAGCCGGCCUGAGAGGGUGACCGGCCACACUGGGACUGAGACACGGCCCAGACUCCUACGGGAGGCAGCAGUGGGGAAUAUUGCACAAUGGGCGAAAGCCUGAUGCAGCAACGCCGCGUGAGGGACGACGGCCUUCGGGUUGUAAACCUCUUUUAGCAGGGAAGAAGCGAAAGUGACGGUACCUGCAGAAAAAGCGCCGGCUAACUACGUG